rnacentral:rRNA from 1 species
CAGCAGCCGCGGUAAUACGUAGGGUGCGAGCGUUAAUCGGAAUUACUGGGCGUAAAGCGUGCGCAGGCGGUUCGUUAAGUUCGUUGUGAAAGCCCCGGGCUCAACCUGGGAAUGGCAAUGGAAACUGGCGGGCUGGAGUGUGGCAGAGGGGGGUGGAAUUCCACGUGUAGCAGUGAAAUGCGUAGAGAUGUGGAGGAACACCGAUGGCGAAGGCAGCCCCCUGGGCCAACACUGACGCUCAGGCACGAAAGCGUGGGGAGCAAACAGGAUUAGAUACCCUGGUAGUCCACGCCCUAAACGAUGGCCACUGGGCGUUGGGGAAGCGAUUCCUUGGUACCGUAGCUAACGCGUGAAGUGGCCCGCCUGGGGAGUACGGCCGCAAGGUUAAAACUCAAAGGAAUUGACGG